rnacentral:misc_RNA from 1 species
GAUGAAGAACGUAGCGAAAUGCGAUAAGUAAUGUGAAUUGCAGAAUUCAGUGAAUCAUCGAACCUUUGAACGCACAUUGCGCCCCCUGGUAUUCCGGGGGGCAUGCCUGUUCGAGCGUCAUUUCACCACUCAAGCCUCGCUUGGUAUUGGGCAACGCGGUCCGCCGCGUGCCUCAAAUCGACCGGCUGGGUCUUCUGUCCCCUAAGCGUUGUGGAAACUAUUCGCUAAAGGGUGUUCGGGAGGCUACGCCGUAAAACAACCCCAUUUCUAAGGUUGACCUCGGAUCAGGUAGGGAUACCCGCUGAACUUAAGCAUAUCAAUAAGCGGAGGA